rnacentral:rRNA from 1 species
ACGGAGAGUUUGAUCCUGGCUCAGAACGAACGCUGGCGGCGUGCUUAAUACAUGCAAGUCGUGCGAGAAAUCCCGAGCUUGCUCGGGAGAGUAAAGCGGCGAACGGGUGCGUAACACGUGGGCAACCUGCCCCCGGGUUGGGGAUAAGCCUUCGAAAGGAGGUCUAAUACCGAAUAACAUCACACCAGGGCAUCCUGGAGUAAUCAAAGAUGGCUUCGGCUAUCUCCCGAGGAUGGGCCCGCGGUACAUUAGCUUGUUGGUAGGGUAACGGCCUACCAAGGCUGCGAUGUAUAGCCGGCCUGAGAGGGUGACCGGCCACACUGGGACUGAGAUACGGCCCAGACUCCUACGGGAGGCAGCAGUAGGGAAUAUUGCGCAAUGCCCGAAAGGGUGACGCAGCAACGCCGCGUG